rnacentral:rRNA from 1 species
UGGGGAAUUUUGGACAAUGGGGGAAACCCUGAUCCAGCCAUCCCGCGUGUGCGAUGAAGGCCUUCGGGUUGUAAAGCACUUUUGGCAGGAAAGAAACGUCGCGGGUUAAUACCCCGCGAAACUGACGGUACCUGCAGAAUAAGCACCGGCUAACUACGUGCCAGCAGCCGCGGUAAUACGUAGGGUGCAAGCGUUAAUCGGAAUUACUGGGCGUAAAGCGUGCGCAGGCGGUUCGGAAAGAAAGAUGUGAAAUCCCAGAGCUUAACUUUGGAACUGCAUUUUUAACUACCGGGCUAGAGUGUGUCAGAGGGAGGUGGAAUUCCGCGUGUAGCAGUGAAAUGCGUAGAUAUGCGGAGGAACACCGAUGGCGAAGGCAGCCUCCUGGGAUAACACUGACGCUCAUGCACGAAAGCGUGGGGAGCAAACAGGAUUAGAUACCCUGGUAGUCCACGCCCUAAACGAUGUCAACUAGCCGUUGGGGCCUUCGGGCCUUGGUAGCGCAGCUAACGCGUGAAGUUGACCGCCUGGGGAGUACGGUCGCAAGAUUAAAACUUAAAGGAAUUG